rnacentral:tRNA from 1 species
GGGGAUAUAGCUCAGAGCAUGAGUGCCUGCCUAGCAAGUGCAAGGUCCUGAGUUUGAUUCUCAGUACCCCCC